rnacentral:rRNA from 1 species
GACGAACGCUGGCGGCGUGCUUAACACAUGCAAGUCGAACGGUAAGGCCCUUCGGGGUACACGAGUGGCGAACGGGUGAGUAACACGUGGGUGAUCUGCCCUGCACUUCGGGAUAAGCCUGGGAAACUGGGUCUAAUACCGGAUAGGACUCCGGACUGCAUGGUCUGGGGUGGAAAGCUUCUGCGGGGUGGGAUGGGCCCGCGGCCUAUCAGCUUGUUGGUGGGGUGAUGGCCUACCAAGGCGACGACGGGUAGCCGGCCUGAGAGGGUGACCGGCCACACUGGGACUGGGAUACGGCCCAGACUCCGACGGGAGGCAGCAGUGGGGAAUAUUGCACAAUGGGCGCAAGCCUGAUGCAGCGACGCCGCGUGAGGGAUGACGGCCUUCGGGUUGUAAACCUCUUUCAGCAUCGACGAAGCGAAAGUGACGGUAGGUGCAGAAGAAGGACCGGCCAACUACGUGCCAGCCGCCGCAGUAA